GGAUAUGAGGGUAAUGUGGUUGUGGCAUCUGUCAUCCCACUAGUCACCAGGAUUGAUCUGGCUGACACAGCUGGCUAGGCAGGUGUCCUUCCUCACCACUCCAUGUGUGUCCCUCCCAAGGCUGCAUGCUUGUCAAAGAAGAUAGCCUUCUCAUACAGAGGGCACACAGGUAGCUAU
rnacentral:snRNA from 1 species